ensembl:rRNA 5S_rRNA 5S ribosomal RNA
GUCUAUGGCCAUAUUACCAUGAAUGUGCGACAUCGCAUCUGAUCUCAGAAGCUAAGUAGGGUCAGGCCCGAUUAGUACUUGGAUGGGAGAAACAUUGGGGUUUAGCCAAGGAUU